rnacentral:rRNA from 1 species
AGUUUAUUGAAGUGUUAUAAUAAAUGUUUUCUGCCCGGUGGGUUUCUUAACGGCCGCGGUAUUCUGACCGUGCAAAGGUAGCAUAAUCACUUGCCCUUUAAUUGGGGGCUAGAAUGAAGGAAAUAUUGAGAGCAAAGCUGUCUCUUUCGCAAGAAGGAAAGUUGCUAUAUAUGUGAAGAAGCAUAUAUAAAGGAAAAAGACAAGAAGACCCUAUUAAGCUUUAUUUUUUCAUUUUGUUUUUUUCCUUAAAAGAAAAAAAAACAAAAUGUAUAGGAUUUGGUUGGGGUGACUAAAAAGGAUAUGAAUCCUCUUUUCAGAAGAUAACUUUGUGUUUAAUGUUGAUCCAAAGAUUUUGAUUAAAAGAACUAGUUACUAUAGGGAUAACAGCGUAAUUUUUCCAGAAAGUUCUUAUUGAAGGAAAAGAUUGCGACCUCGAUGUUGACUUAUCGUCUCCUGUUAAAGUGUAGAAGCUGUUAGGGUUAGUCUGUUCGACUAUUAAAGCGGU